UACGGAGGAUGCAAGCGUUAUCCGGAUUUAUUGGGUUUAGAGUGUGCGCAGGUUGUUUGAUAAGUCAGUGGUGAAAGUCUGUCGCUUAACGGUAGGAUUGCCAUUGAUACUGUUGGACUUGAAUAUGGAUGAGGUAGGCGGAAUGUGUAGUGUAGCGGUGAAAUGCAUAGAUAUUACACAGAACACCGAUUGCGAAGGCAGCUUACUAAUCCAUCAUUGACGCUGAGGCACGAAAGCGUGGGGAU
rnacentral:rRNA from 1 species